UACAGAGGUCUCAAGCGUUGUUCGGAUUCAUUGGGCGUAAAGGGUGCGUAGGCGGCGCGGUAAGUCGGGUGUGAAAUCUUGGAGCUUAACUCCGAAACUGCAUUCGAUACUGCCGUGCUUGAGGACUGGAGAGGAGACUGGAAUUUACGGUGUAGCAGUGAAAUGCGUAGAGAUCGUAAGGAAGACCAGUGGCGAAGGCGGGUCUCUGGACAGUUCCUGACGCUGAGGCACGAAGGCCAGGGGAGCAAACGGG
rnacentral:rRNA from 1 species